rfam:Dipodomys ordii contig_43310, whole genome shotgun sequence.
GGAAGGUUAAUCUGACUGUGCCUUCUCUCAUCCCAUUGAUAACCAGGGUUGAUUCAGUUCAUCUGGAUGGCAGAGCGGGCAUUGUCUCCCUCUCUCAUUAAUCCCUGUACCUCCCUCCCAAGGCUGUGGCCUCUGAAGUGGGCCAUUCUAUCCAGGAUUGAGUAGCAUUUAUGCUCACCUGCUGGAGCCUCCAAACGAUACACACUAUUCCUAAAUUUAGCUGGGUGCCAGUGGCUCAUGAUUAUCAUCCUAGCUAGUCAGGAGGCUAAGAUAUGAAAAUUGCAGUUCAAAGCCAGCCUGGGCAGAAGUCUGUGAAACUUU